rnacentral:tRNA from 1 species
GCUAUCGUAGCUUAACGCAAAGCAUAGCACUGAAGAUGUUAAGACGAGCCCUAGAAGCCUCCGUGAGCA